rnacentral:rRNA from 1 species
GACGUAGGGUCCAAGCGUUGUCCGGAUUUUACUGGGGCGGUAAAGAGCGCGUUAGGCGGUCCGUUAAGUGUAAGAGUGAAGCUCCGGGCUCAACUCGGAAAUUGCUCUGCAUACUGGGCGGACUCGAGGGUGGCAGAGGUUUUGUGGAAUUCCUGGUGUAGCGGUGAAAUGCGCAGAGAUCAGGAGGAACACCGAUGGCGAAAGCAGGUACCUGGACCAUUACUGACACUCAGCUGCGAAAGCUAGGGGAGCAAACAGG